GCCGUUCGACGUUCCGAGGAUAAAGCUAGGUUCACAAGGUCUAGAAGUUUCCAGGAUCGGGCUGGGCUGUAUGAGUAUGUCCGGUAACUACGGCCCGCCCAAGCCCGAGGCCGAAAUGAUCAAGCUACUUCAUCACGCUAUUGAUACUGGAGUCACCUUACUCGAUACUUCUGAUGUCUAUGGCCCUCUUACUAAUGAAAUACUCAUCGGCAAGGUGAAGAUGU
rnacentral:misc_RNA from 1 species